rnacentral:tRNA from 1 species
UCCCAGGUGGCUCAGAGGUUAAAGCGUCUGCCUGCAAUGCAGAAGACCUGGGUUCAAUCCCUGGGUCGGGAA